AUGAAAACAUGGCACUGUCCCUACUGCGCUAUUAUCUGUGGAUGUGAUUUACUUCAGCUCUUCCAAACAGACAACCGUCUGAACAACACAAGGAUGUGGCCAGCACCCAAACAGACCACACUCCUCUGAAGCAGGAGGGCAGUCAUCAUUCACCAGUUACUCCUAAUGUCGAAAAUGUAUGCAAUUUGGACCAUGGCGCCUGAUCGAGGUAAACUAAAUAGCACCAUGAACUCACAGCAUAGUGAACUAUCCACACGGCAGUCGGAGACAAGCACAUUUGCAAUUUUUCUGAGAUUUGCCAGAAUCGGAAUGACUCAAUCCACGGAAGAUAAUGGAUGUGAGUAUGGGAAAUGGAGCUGUAAGAACGGAAGGCCGCCUUGUUUCCUCUGUUCCCAUGCCUGUGGGGUUCACGCUUUAAUUCAGGAAGAUGUGCCAAGGAAAGGCGUUGCUCUCACCGGUCAGGGUCCAAGGCUCCGGGCCACCAUUAAUGUCUCGUUGCACACCAAUGGCGUUCCCGGGGAGCUUAUCUGGCACUGCAAGAGCAAAGCAGCUCUGCUGCAAAUCCACCUGACUCAGAAAGCUCUUGACGACCCAGAGCAGUUGGUUCUGCUGUCCUCCACCUCACACUUUCCGGAGGACUUGGGACAGUACGUACACGUGAAUCCGCAUGUGCCCACACUUGGGGCUGUACAUACACGUGUAUCUUCAUGUGCUCACACUUGGGGCUGUACACACACGUGUAUCUUCAUGUGCUCACACUUGGGGCUGUACACACAUGUGUACAUACUUGGGGCUGUAUGUACAUGUGCCCACACUUGGGGCUGUACGUACAUGUGUAUCUGUGUCUGCCUACACUUGGGACUGCGGAUUGUAACACACCAAGUGACUGCAAGGGACCCCAACAGAGGAUAGUGCAGCUCUGCGUUCUCAUUUCUGACACUCUCUCUUCUUAUUUCAACAGUGACUUCAUUUGUGUGAAACAGUCUAAUGUCAGUGUGGUUCUUCUAUGACACCUGGUAUGUUAUUGUCACAUUGUCAUCAGGAUCAUAUAAGAAAAUGUCGAUUGGGAAGAAACUCUGCAGCUAGUUAAAAAAUUCUUUUAAGAGGCUCCCUUUCCGUUGAUUCUAAUUCCUGUACACCUACAAGGUCAUUUCUCAUGAGUGAGAUGCUCCUGUCCCUGUCCCACCUUGACAGGGGGUGGGAGAAGGCCUCUGAGGUCUCAGUGCUCACCCAGGCCUGCCCCAUACUUUUAUCUGUGGUAUCAGCCAUUUAUUACCACCAGGUCUCCGGUUUAGUCCCCUGCUGACUUGGCAUCUCUGGAUUACAUACACUGCCUUACAAUUUUCAGGUCAAUUUGUGAUUGAAGGGAUGAUUAUUUUUGUGCUUAUCUUUGGGAAUGACAUUUACUUUAACUGGGGUCUGCAGAAACUUUAGAGUGGACUUCCGGCCUGGCUUGGUGCAGUCCCUCCAUCUACAGGCUUGGAUUUUUCAGGGUCUCAGAGUUGGUCUGGCUCAAGAACACUGACUCGUGUUAGCACAUCUCAGAGGAGACUGACACAGGAAACCAGAGUGCCAGUUCAUUAAUUUACAGUGAGUAAUAUAAGUGUCAAGUGGACCAGAUGUUGGCUUCAUCCUGACCAACACAUUCUCUCCCUGUAGGCAAGCUACUUGGGAAGUCAAACAAUCAGAAGGAUGCUUGGGGAACAGGCAGUCAGAACAGGAGCACGGAGUUUGAUGAUUCCAACGUCCAGCCACACGAAUGGUACACAAAGGCUGUUCAGACCCCUCAUUGGAAGCCGGAACAGGAGCUGUUGCUCUGUAAUUAGCGUAUCACGUGCAACUCCGAGCUGCUCACCUUCUGAUACCUGGCUGCCCUCACCUUGUCUGCAUCCCAAGGCACAAUGGAAGUGAGCGUCUGGCCUGCCAUGGGUGUACGGGGUAUGUGGUGCAAUAUUUGUGAGCAUCAUGUACACAAAUAGUGUACACAAAUGGUAUUUGGCUAAGAGACACUAGCCACAAAAUAAAAAAUAUACCUAAGAAUUAUCUGAUAUGAAUUUGCACAUCCCUAUCAACCAGCAAAAUGUUACAAUCAACCAGCAAUACACAGUUUUUUAGUAACGCAGAUCAUUGCCAGCUUCACUCAUGUUAAUUCGUGGCUCAGGUCCGCAGUAAGAUAUACCUGUUAGGCAGGGCAGGCGCUGGGGCUGGGGGCAGAGGACUCGCUCCCAGGGUCGGUACUUAGGUGGGCUUUGCAGCAGUUUCCCCACAUAACUGUUCUUUCUGGUGCUUCCAUUUUAGGCCUGCAUCGUGUCAUACCAAAGGGCCUUCUCGCCCUGAGAUGUGUUUGACAAGCCUGCUUUUAAUUCAUGCUGGAUGUGAAGGCAGUCCAUCUCGUUGAUGGAGUUUUGUUUUGUUUAGCUCUGAUCAUGCUGUGUUGGUGGUGUAGCUUAAUUCUCAAAGCGAAAACUGAUUUCCAGGUUCUUAAAGAGCACUCCUGCAUGGCUUCCAGGGUGCCACCCCCUGCCCCCGCAUCUGCACGAGCCCCUUCUCAUUCUUUAUUCUUUUACGCACUCCCUGUGAUUAAUCUGGCUGCUACUCCAGUGCCCAUGACUUGGGUCUGCCUCAGCCACCUCCAGCCCCCAACAUCCCCACAUCUUUCUCAUCAGAGGGUGGUGGCACCUUUGCUGCUCAUGGUCCAGGGUUGUCACAAGGAUCAGAUGGCAAACAAAGCACAGUGCUGUGAAAUCUGUGCAGAGAGAAGAGAUUCCAAUUUCUUUUCUUAAAAAAUAAAUAUGGCUGCUGGGCUUGAUUUUCUUCAUUUCAGAAUGUCUUGGUGGGACCCAAGAGAAAGGUGGAAAAAGAGUUUAAAACAACUUCGACUGCAAGCCCGUUUCCAUGAAGUUCCUCAAGACUUUUGUAUGUUAGUAAAUCUCUCCACGUGACCUCAUUUGGCAUAAUCUUAUCUUUUAGUUUGGUAGAAGUGCUUUAAGAUUUGAUCACAGACAUCUUUUUCACAGAUAUCCUAUUCACUAACACCCUAGUGUACAGAAGUGAAGUUUGGCUAAGAGACAGUAGCCACAAAAUAAAAAAUAUACCUAAGAAUUAUCUGAUAUGAACUUGCAAAUGCCUAUCAACCAGCAAAAUGUUACAAUCAACCAGCAAUACACAGUUGUUUAGUAAUGCAGAUCAUUGCCAGCUUCACUCAUGUUAAUUCGUGGCUCGGGUCCUUAGACUUUGACUUUAUCUUCCAUUUUGGGAAACUUUGCUGAACUUUAACCCAGGCUCUGUAUCCACCAAUGCAUUGCCUUGAAGCCUGUUUCAGUUUACCUAGCCCUCAAUGGGCAUCCACCUGCUUACUGUUCCUCUGAAUACCAGCCUUCACGGAAACUACACCAGGAGAUAAUUAGUCACGCUAACAACCUCGGAAAGCACU
rnacentral:lncRNA from 1 species